rnacentral:rRNA from 1 species
GUCCAGACUCCUACGGGAGGCAGCAGUGAGGAAUAUUGGUCAAUGGUCGGGAGACUGAACCAGCCAAGCCGCGUGAGGGAGGAAGGUACAGAGUAUCGUAAACCUCUUUUGUCAGGGAACAAAGGCGGGGACGUGUCCCCGGAUGAGUGUACCUGAAGAAAAAGCAUCGGCUAACUACGUGCCAGCAGCCGCGGUAAUACGUAGGGGGCAAGCGUUAUCCGGAUUUACUGGGUGUAAAGGGAGCGUAGACGGUGAUGCAAGUCAGAAGUGAAAGCCCGGGGCUCAACUCCGGGACUGCUUUUGAAACUGUGUGACUGGAGUGCAGGAGAGGUAAGCGGAAUUCCUGGUGUAGCGGUGAAAUGCGUAGAUAUCAGGAGGAACACCAGUGGCGAAGGCGGCUUACUGGACUGUAACUGACGUUGAGGCUCGAAAGCGUGGGGAGCAAACAGGAUUAGAUACCCCUGUA